rnacentral:rRNA from 1 species
UACGAAGGGGGCUAGCGUUGUUCGGAAUCACUGGGCGUAAAGGGCGCGUAGGCGGCCUGAUAAGUCGGGGGCGAAAGCCUGUGGCUCAACCACAGAAUUGCCUUCGAUACUGUCGGGCUUGAGACCGGAAGAGGUAAGUGGAACUGCGAGUGUAGAGGUGAAAUUCGUAGAUAUUCGCAAGAACACCAGUGGCGAAGGCGGCUUACUGGUCCGGGUUC